GAUGAACGCUGGCGGCGUGCCUAAUACAUGCAAGUCGAGCGAACAGACGAGGAGCUUGCUCCUCUGACGUUAGCGGCGGACGGGUGAGUAACACGUGGAUAACCUACCUAUAAGACUGGGAUAACUUCGGGAAACCGGAGCUAAUACCGGAUAAUAUAUUGAACCGCAUGGUUCAAUAGUGAAAGACGGUUUUGCUGUCACUUAUAGAUGGAUCCGCGCCGCAUUAGCUAGUUGGUAAGGUAACGGCUUACCAAGGCAACGAUGCGUAGCCGACCUGAGAGGGUGAUCGGCCACACUGGAACUGAGACACGGUCCAGACUCCUACGAGAGGCAGCAGUAGGGAAUCUUCCGCAAUGGGCGAAGGCCUGACGGAGCAGCGCAGCGUGAGUGAUGAAGGUCUUCGGGUCGUGAGACUCUGUUAUUAGGGGAGAACAAAUGUGUAAGUAACUAUGCACGUCUUGACGGUACCUAAUCAGAAAGCCACGGCUAACUACGUG
rnacentral:rRNA from 1 species